AGAUGGUUUGAAUGUAAUGAUAUCGAUAGUGGUUGAGGGUGAAUUGUAUAAAAGCUAUUUGAUCGGUGAUGAUGUUGAUCAACAUGUUUGUAUUUCCCAUUUACAAUUUAGUGUUGGAGGGGAAUGACUCAUUUGAGUUGUCUACUUUGCUGAGGAGGCUGUAUUAAUGAAUUAGCUAAACAUUUAUUUUUUGAAUGUGGUGUUUUCUAUUGAUGGUUGUUAUUGUGUUUUACAAUUUGGUAAUAAUUAUUUGUUUAAUAAAGAGACACGAAUCGAAAUGCAUCUUUGCAAUUUGAGUGGGUUGAUUGAUGUGCUUCUUGAUAAAGUGAAGACUCUUGUUUGGUGGUGACUGAAGACUGAUAAAAAAGUUUUAGCUAUGAAUUGAAUAUGCAGUGGUUUAACCCGCUACCUUGUUUAACGAUUGGAAUCAAUUGAUUUGGUUUUGUAUGUAAUUUUUUCUUUGUGGGGUGUGCUUUUUAAUCUCCUUUUGACUCUAUUUUUCGGUGUUUGAUUAAUGUUAGAAUGUGA
rnacentral:lncRNA from 1 species